rnacentral:lncRNA from 1 species
AGGCAGAGCUGCCGCUUGGUAAGCUCAGUGCUGGGGUCUGGGGUCCAGGGGGCACUGGGCACAGGGUUUGGGGGAGGUGCUUUUGUUCAGACCUGGCACCUCUGUGGGGCAUGUGGGAGUUUGAAGCCUCAGCUCCAGGGCUUGGUGGCCUUGGGGUCUCUGUAGCCCCCGGGGCUGGAUCCUCGAGCCCAGCCCACCUCACCCCGGGAGCAUCACGUUUGGAAUCAUCAAGGAUGGCAGAAGGUGCACACGCUGAUCUAUGAGGACUCUGAUGCCCUCCGAGCAAAGAGGACGUGAAGGCACGGAUGGGACUUGCCUGGGGACUCUGGUCCAGAAGGCAGCUGCGGUCUAUGGCCAUACCACCCUGAACGCACUCGAUCUCAACAGAAGGCAGCUGCACCAGGACCGACCCUAGGUCUCAGAGGUGGUGCCGUUCCCUGCAGCCUUGUCUGAGGUCGGCUGUGCAGACCAGUGGCCCAGGGUGCCUGGGCUCCCAGGGGAACAGACUUCCUGCUGGGCCUUGCACAAAGUGGGUGGUAUGGGUCCCCACCAGGCCUGCCCUGUGGUUGUGGACAGUCAAAGCCUCCGUACCCGCCCCCUGCCCCCCAGCUUCCUGGGAGGCGACCAGAGAUUAGCUGCCUAAACAAUUAAAAAUCCUG